rnacentral:rRNA from 1 species
GUGAGGGAUAUUGGUCAAUGGGCGCAAGCCUGAACCAGCGACGCCGCGUGGGUGAAGAAGGUCUUCGGAUCGUAAAGCCCUUUUCCCACUGAAGAGGAAGGACGGUAGGUGGGGAAGAAGUCUCGGCUAACUACGUGCCAGCAGCCGCGGUAAAACGUAGGAGACAAGCGUUAUCCGGAGUUACUGGGCGUAAAGGGCGUGCAGGUGGCGUCUUAAGUCUGUUGUGAAAGCGCCUGGCUUAACCGGGCGAGGCCAAUGGAGACUGAGAGGCUGGAGGACGGCGGAGGGGUGUGGAAUUCCGGGUGUAGAGGUGAAAUGCGUAGAGAUCAGGAGGAACACCAGAGGCGAAGGCGGCACUCUAAGCCGUACCUGACACUGAGACGCGACAGCAC